GCUACACAUGCAGUCGAGCGGAACGAGAAGUAGCUUGCUACUUCGGCGUCGAGCGGCGGACGGGUGAGUAAUGCAUAGGAAGUUGCCCAGUAGAGGGGGAUAACCAUUGGAAACGAUGGCUAAUACCGCAUAACCUCUUCGGAGCAAAGCGGGGGACCUUCGGGCCUCGCGCUACUGGAUACGCCUAUGUGGGAUUAGCUAGUUGGUGAGGUAAUGGCUCACCAAGGCGACGAUCCCUAGCUGGUCUGAGAGGAUGAUCAGCCACACUGGGACUGAGACACGGCCCAGACUCCUACGGGAGGCAGCAGUGGGGAAUAUUGCACAAUGGGCGAAAGCCUGAUGCAGCCAUGCCGCGUGUAUGAAGAAGGCCUUCGGGUUGUAAAGUACUUUCAGUUGUGAGGAAGGAUGUGUAGUUAAUAACUGCGCAUUUUGACGUUAGCAACAGAAGAAGCACCGGCUAACUCCGUGCCAGCAGCCGCGGUAAUACGGAGGGUGCGAGCGUUAAUCGGAAUUACUG
rnacentral:rRNA from 1 species